ACGUAUGUCCCGAGCGUUAUCCGGAUUUAUUGGGCGUAAAGCGAGCGCAGACGGUUGCUUAAGUCUGAAGUGAAAGCCCACAGCUCAACUGUGGAAUGGCUUUGGAAACUGGGCAACUUGAGUGCAGUAGAGGUAAGUGGAACUCCAUGUGUAGCGGUGGAAUGCGUAGAUAUAUGGAAGAACACCAGUGGCGAAGGCGGCUUACUGGACUGCAACUGACGUUGAGGCUCGAAAGUGUGGGUAGCAAACAGG
rnacentral:rRNA from 1 species